CCUCAUUCGAUAUCAAACCCUCGGACCAGUCGUUUCGGCUUCUAAAUUUAUCAAAAUUCCAAAUUGUAUUUUUCCUUUCGAAUAUUACUCAACCAAAAUACUUUAAAAAGAACCCAAGAUGUGUAACGGAUGUGGAUGCUGUGGACCCUCCCCCUGCCCCAGACGCUACCUUGUGAACAAGGAUAACGCGCCCUGUGUUUGGUGUGCUCCGUGCAAGGCCCACUGCUACAAUACUCCGCCCAAAUGCUGUUGCUAGGGUCGUGAAAGAUCUGACCUAAAACUAAUCCCUACCAUUCCACACUUUCCCUGUCGUGUGGCUUCUAAGUGGGUCCUGGCUAAGCCUUCAGAUGGAGUGCUGAAAGUGCGGAAGUGGGUCCAGACAUUUCGGGCGCCGUAUUUUGGUUGGUAACCGAAUGGAUAAAGUUGCAGAAAGGCCAGACAAGAACACCUCCAGUUGUGAUAUUUUUUUGGACUUAUUUAGGCUUUAAAUUAAAAUUAAAUGUCUUGAAUAAUAA